GCGGGCGUGGCGGAAUGGUAGACGCAAGGGACUUAAAAUCCCUGGGCCUCGGUCAUGCGGGUUCGAGUCCCGCCGCCCGUA
rnacentral:tRNA from 1 species